CACAUUUCAGGUUCGGGAUAGCCGGUAGAUAGCCGAUUGCAUCAAGGACUUCAGUUAGCCUUGCAUUGUCAAAAUUAUAGGUUCACAGACUUGCAUCUUAUUGGUUAGUUGGGGGCCCAUGUGUCAUUGUAAAAGUAAUUUUAUACUUUAGUUAUCUGAUUUAAAAUAUGUAUGAACAUAUUAAGCUUUUACACCAUGUUUUUGGCGAGUUUCGGUAUUAUCGAAGAAAAAUGAUGAAAAUGCCCCUAUGAGCCAAAAAAUAAUAUUUUAUUAUUUUGAUUUGGAAACGACUUAUGAUUUUUUUGAAAUGCAAGAUUUAAUAACUGUCGCUCACCGGGGAGAUGCGGAAGCUGAUGCUAAGCCUUGCGGGAUUCCGAUCGACAUUCGGGGUAAUGAGUGCCUAUCGGGACUUCGCG
rnacentral:lncRNA from 1 species